GGAGAUUGAAGAAAGGCUUUGGGUAAGCAGAACACCAAGAAAGAAAUAAAAGCAUAGGGCAUGUUAGCAGAAACAUGCAACUACAAACCUACCUAGGCCAUCUGAAGAUGAGACAUUUUACUGCGAAGUAAUGUGGGAGGCUGCUUUUGACUGAUACAGGUCAGAAGUUGAUGCUUUUUCAGGCAGAAAACUUACUCAUUGUACUAUGCUGAAGAGCAUAAAGUAGUAGAGAGCAGGCAGGUAGUACACAGUGGUGAUUGUUCUACAUCCUAAGAUCAGUAUUCCCUAAUGAAAAACACUGCAAUUCAAUUCAAGCACAGCUAAUGCACUCCUUUCAGGUAACGUGGGUUUUUUGUCAAUAUGUUUUUAUGUAGAUUAAUAUGAAUGUGAGCACGAAUACCUGGAAGGAGAAUUUAGACAGAAGAUUCAGUUAUGUAAAGGAUAUCACCUGAUGUUUGUUAAGUACAAGAAUCGCUAAAUAACAAAGUUAGUUUCAUUGACGAAGGUGAGGCUACAGUCAUCUUUGAUUCUUAACUUCGGAAUACCUUGUCUAAGGAACACCAGAGCUCACAGAAAGAAGACAGACCGUUUUAUUUCAGAAGAAUGUCUCUCGACAAAGUGGACAGGUGGAUUUGUUGCUGGAUGUGAACCAUUUGUACUGGAAAAGAAAUAUGACAGCUUAACAUAUGAAUGCAAGCUAAGUAUCAAGAACAUUGCUUUGUCACUGGUAAUAAGGAUUACUAGUGAGUGAAGUUAACUAUCAAAACACUCAUUUUACUUAACACAACAAACAGUUAAAAAGCCCUUUCCCCUUACAUAUAUACGUGUGCAUGUGUAUAUGUACACAUCUGAAUGUGUGUAUAUACACACACUGCAUGUGCAGAAGUUUUAUUCUAAAGACAAACAAAAACCAAAG
rnacentral:lncRNA from 1 species